CCUACGGGAGACAGCAGUGAGGAAUCUUGGUCAAUGGACGAGAGUCUGAACCAGCCAAGUAGCGUGAAGGAUGACUGCUCUAUGGGUUGUAAACUUCUUUUAUAUGGGAAUAAAACAGGGUAUGCAUACCCUCUCGUAUGUACCAUAUGAAUAAGGAUCGGCUAACUCCACGCCAGCAGCCGCGGUAAUACGGAGGGUCCGAGCGUUAUCCGGAUGUAUUGGGUUUAAAGGGAGCGUAGGUGGAUUGUUAAGUCAGUUGUGAAAGUUUGCGGCUCAACCGUAAAAUUGCAGUUGAAACUGGCAGACUUGAGUGCAGUAGAGGUCGGCGGAAGGCGUGGUGUAGCGGUGAAAUGCUUAGAUAUCAGGAAGAACACCGAUGGCGAAGGCAGCUCACUGGACUGCAACUGACGCUGAGGCUCGAAAGUGUGGGUAGCAAACAGGAUUAGAUACCCCUGUAGUC
rnacentral:rRNA from 1 species